rnacentral:rRNA from 1 species
UGUAAGCGUAUACCAAAGUUGUUGCAGUUAAACCGCUCGUAGUCGGAAUUUGGCAGUUCCGGAUGUGUGCACGUCGUGUGCGCACUUCGCGGGGAUUGCUUUUGUGGUCUUGCGUAGGAUGAGGCACUUUUAUUAGUGAACGUCCUCACGCAACCACUUUUUACUGUGAGAAAAUCAGAGUGCUCAAAGCAGGCAUUUGCCGUGAAUGUAUUAGCAUGGAAUAAUAGAAUAGGACUUGGUUCUAUUUUGUUGGUUUGUUGGGACUGAGUAAUGAUUAAGAGGGACAGUUGGGGGCAUUUGUAUUUCGGUGCUAGAGGUGAAAUUCUUAGAUUACCGAAAGACAAACUGCUGCGAAAGCGUCUGCCAAGGAUGUUUUCAUUGA